ensembl:lncRNA
GGAGCCUGCUUGGCAUGUUCCAGAACCAGGAAGGAAGCAAAGGCAGGAGCAGAAGUCUAGAGCAAAGCAGAAGGGUGCAGGCUCAGAGGAGCCUUCGUAAGGACUUUGCCUUUCAUUCCAAGUGAGAUCCAGGGCUUUGGUAAACAGACAAGCAUUUUCUCCAGUUGAUGAGUGAGCAACUGAGACCAGAAGGAACACAAGUUGAAUAACGCAGGAGCACAGAGCUGAAAAAAAUAUAGCUUCAACUCCUUACCACUGCCGGUUUUUUAGACUCCAGAUCCAGUUCUCCUAUCUGUCACGAAUAUACUUCUAAUUUACCAACAAGCUGGAUUAAUCGGCGAGGCCUUAGAAGGAGUUUCACAAUCAGGAGAGCCUUUGAACUUGAUGGGCAGAUUCUUUACCAUCUGAGCCACCAGGGAAGGCCACCAAAAGGCAUUACUUGAUUUAUAUUCUGAAGAAGCCGUUGUUCAGGAGUGAUACCAACUUAUUCAAAAACUGAAAUUAUUCUCUUGGAAUUGCUUAUCCAUUUUAUGAUAGUUUAAAUGAGAUAAAAAGACCAACCUCUCUGAGCAAGCAGAAAUUCUUGAGACCACCUUCAAACUUCAUCUUCAUCAUCAAUGCUCCUGCACCUCUAAUCUGCUGGCCUUUGGACUGAAACCUGGGACACUGGGGCUUUCAGGAAGCAUGGCAGUCUCUUUCAGUUCACAGUGAGAAAUCCAGACUCCCAAAAUUGUGUCCGUUCUGAUACCCACUGAGUGUCCUGGGGUGGCUCACUCACCUUUCCUGGGGUUAUCCUGUGCAUACUGAGGUGAAGAGCACAGCCUGCCAUCUCAGCGAUGGCGUUUACUAGAUAAAUCUUGUAAGGUUCUUUGAAGAUGAGAAGAGUUACACACCCACGCUGUUUUAUUGUUCUAUCUCACAUUUGAUCAUAUUCUUCCUAAAAGAUCUCUGCCAUGAUUGGUGCGCCCUUUGAGUUUUAGUGGCUGGUUUCUGUGGUAGAUUUUAUAUCUCAGUAAAAAGGUUAUAUAAUGUUUUGAUUGUUUGGGGUGAUUUUCCUAGACAUCAAAGACAUAAUUUCUAAAACCUCUAAACUAGUUUCUAUUUGUUUCUUUUAUAUAAGCCGGGACACAACCCCUCCUUCAGGGAUGCUGUACCUUAACCCAGAGAGCCUCUUGGACCAACUGAAAGUGAAGGAUGGCUGGCUCUUCACUCUUCUGUCUAUUGCAGGAGAUAAUUGAUUCACAAUGAUAAGACUAAUUUAAGCUUGAGUCAUCUUCAGUUUUUCCUAAAUUAUAAAGUAUUUUCUUCCUCAUUUCAGAACCUGAGGCAUAGCAGAGAAGUAGUGUGUUACUCACUAUAAAAGGGAAUAAAUUCAAGACCUUUUUACACAUGUAAACCAAAAUUGUUCAUUUUCCCAAAGACUGUUUAACAGUCUGAAUGUGUAUGUGGCAACCUUUGUUUCCCAGAUGUAUAUUAAGUCUUGCAUUUUUCUUUCAGUGUGUGCCAGUAAAAAGAAGAGAGAGCUAAAAGAAUGCUCUUCUUUAUGAUGACGAAGAUGGGAGGGGUAUGAAAAUAUUUGCAAACCAUUCCCAGAUUCUCACAUUCCCAGGGGCAAAAAGCAAUGAAACUUUGGAUCAGAGAGUUCCGCAGAGGCUGCCUAAUUCCUAGCAUUAAUCAGAACCCAGCCCGUACCUCAAUCUCCCCUUCAUGUUUGGCCUAAUGUUCUCUUUCUGCCACCAUCAAUUCAUAUUUUUUGUGUUUCUGACACUGAAAAAUGUGUCAAGAGGAAAGCCUACUAUGGUCAACAAGCAAACAUUAAU